ACGGAAGGCAGCAGUAGGGAAUCUUCCACAAUGGACGAAAGUCUGAUGGAGCAACGCCGCGUGAGUGAUGAAGGUUUUCGGAUCGUAAAACUCUGUUGUAAGGGAAGAACAAGUGCGUUAGGUAAUGAACGCACCUUGACGGUACCUUAUCAGAAAGCCACGGCUAACUACGUGCCAGCAGCCGCGGUAAUACGUAGGUGGCAAGCGUUGUCCGGAUUUAUUGGGCGUAAAGCGCGCGCAGGUGGUUUCUUAAGUCUGAUGUGAAAGCCCCCGGCUCAACCGGGGAGGGUCAUUGGAAACUGGGAGACUUGAGUGCAGAAGAGGAUAGUGGAAUUCCAAGUGUAGCGGUGAAAUGCGUAGAGAUUUGGAGGAACACCAGUGGCGAAGGCGACUGUCUGGUCUGUAACUGACACUGAGGCGCGAAAGCGUGGGGAGCAAACAGGAUUAGAUACCCUGGUA
rnacentral:rRNA from 1 species